rnacentral:lncRNA from 1 species
UAUACCUGUCGCUGCAUGCCAUUAUGCAAUCUUGAUUUGCGAAUCUUUCGGUACCCUCGAGAUCGUGCGGACACCAAAACGUCAUUUCUUCAUAAAAGGACGCCGUCACGAUAUCAUCAUGACCCCUUAAUCUAUGAGUUUUUUUGUUUUUUCUCCUGGGUCUGUUAAUAUUCUUUAUCACUCCAUAAUUAUUAGCGAUCUUCCCGAUCACUCUCCCCGUUUGGUCUUCCAUUCCACGAGUCUAUAAAUACCCGGCCUUUUAUCAUUCAUUCUUUACGCUUUCAAAUUUUCCAAACUCUCUCUUGUUCAAGGAUUAAAAGAAACCCCCUGACUUUCUCCCAGAAACCUUUCGAAACCAUUUCCAAUGGCCUCUUUCA